GACGAACCGUGCGAACGUUAUUCGGAAUAACUGGGCUUAAAGGGAGCGUAGGCGGGCUAUCAAGUCUGGGGUGAAAUCCCGCGGCUCAACCGUGGAACUGCCUCAGAUACUGACGGCCUCGAGGGAGAUAGGGGCAUGCGGAACUGUAGGUGGAGCGGCGAAAUGCGUUGAUAUCUACAGGAACUCCGGUGGCGAAAGCGGCGUGCUGGAUCUCUUCUGACGCUGAGGCUCGAAAGCUAGGGGAGCAAACGGG
rnacentral:rRNA from 1 species